GCUGGUGUGGCUCAAUGGCAGAGCAGCGGUAUCGUAAACCGCAGGUUGCAGGUUCGACUCCUGUCACCAGCUCCA
rnacentral:tRNA from 1 species